GAUGAACGCUGGCGGCGUGCCUAAUACAUGCAAGUAGGACGCAGUUGCGAACGGGGGAGUAACGCGUAGGUAACUACCUAUUAGAGGGGGAUAACUAUUGGAAACGAUAGCUAAUACCGCAUACUAGUAGAUGGACCUGCGUUGUAUUAGCUAGUAGGUAGGGUAAUGGCCUACCUAGGCAACGAUACAUAGCCGACCUGAGAGGGUGAGCGGCCACACUGGGACGGAGACACGGCCCAGACGCCUACGGGAGGCAGCAGUAGGGAAACUGCGGGAAGGGGGGGAAACCUGAACGCGCAACGCCGCGGGAGUGAAGAAGGUUUUCGGAUCGUAAAGCUCGGUUGUUAAGGAAGCGGUACUUAACCAGAAAGGAACGGCUAACUACGUGCCAGCAGCCGCGGUAAUUC
rnacentral:rRNA from 1 species